UGACUAAGCAGGAGGAGUGUGGUUGAACCAACUUGCAAGUAGUGUACCAAUAAGCAAGUUAUUUUUCAAUGUAUUAAGUGUGGAGUCAAUUGAGGGGACUAUGUUUCAUGAAGCCGUUAGAAGACUGUUGCUGACUGAGAGGAGUCUGGCAGUAACCCAGAACUAUUAGAUGCAGAGGAUCUCUCUUUCGGCUGCUGCUGACAACAACUGCAUUCAGGCAAUAACCCAUACUGUACUGGCAGUAGUUAAUCUGGGCCAGGUGCUGGAACAAAACGGGCGGAAUUGAUCUGACAACUUGAGGGCUGCUGGGUUCACAUCCUCAAAACAUUCCCCUACCUUUGGGCCCCUGAGCGAAGCCCUUAACCCCACAGCAUUCUCUCCAUCCAGGGGUGCUGCACUGCAGCAUGAUAGGUCACAAAGGACCUAUCAUGGUCCAAACACACCAACACAGUCGUGAAGAGGGCACGACAACACCUCUUCCCCCUC